AUUUUACGUAUGGAUUAUAAUAGACCCUUGAAAUAUUUAAGGAACAAUCUUGAGGCAUGGGAAUACUCAAAUGCAAGAAUACUACCCGAAUAUUUCUGGAGAGCUACAAUAGAGAGGCUGAGGAGAAGGAGGAAUAGAAGAGGUCGAUCUUGCUGUCUUAGGGUGGCAGAGGCAGAAGAGGAGAAGAGGUGGAAGGGGAAGCAAGAGA
rnacentral:lncRNA from 10 species